UUCGCCUCUCUAUACUCUUUGCUGCAGGUCAACAAUGCAUGUGAAAUUGUCACUUUAUUUCCUUUUUUGGAGGACCAAUUUUCUUACAAUGGGUAACUAAUUCUUUCAGAUUAAAUAUUUAUGCAAAAUGUACUUAUCAGAAUAACUUUUGAUGUUGUGUGGUUAUGCUUUCAUAUUAAAUGUAAGUUAUUGAUUUAGCUAUUUGUUUUCUAGGAGCAUUUCUAUGAUGCACCGAGUGGCUAAUGCUAACCAGGCUUGGUGUUUAAAGACUGUGCAGACUAGAACUUGGUGAUGACUCUACUGACUGGGAAAUAUCUGCCUAUCACCUGUCCAACAUCACAGCCACAAGAAGGGAACACAGAUUCUUCCGGCGGCUGACUAUUAGGGAGAUUUCUUAAGAGAACCAGCACAGUCUCCAGGAUUUUUCGAGAAAGUUGGAUCUGCACAGCCGUUCCUGCUCUAUGAAACUCUACUGUUAGCAACUGGACACAACUGAUCUACUUGUACCCUGCGACUGAUCCACUGGUAUCCUAUACUGUUCUUCAUCUGCUGAAUGUUGUUGACUCGAGCACUGCUGUACUGUUGCAGAGUCGAGGGUACUGAAUCAACUUCACUGACACAGGACUUACAUUCACUGACAUGUUCAGGAUUUGAAGUAUCACAGACCAUUUGACAGAAAUUACUAUAUUGUGCAUUCAUUGUUCAUUUUAAAGGUUAAC